rnacentral:rRNA from 1 species
AGUGAACGCUGGCGGUAGGCCUAACACAUGCAAGUCGAACGACAGCACAGAGGAGCUUGCUCCUUGGGUGGCGAGUGGCGGACGGGUGAGGAAUACAUCGGAAUCUACUCUGUCGUGGGGGAUAACGUAGGGAAACUUACGCUAAUACCGCAUACGACCUACGGGUGAAAGCAGGGGACCUUCGGGCCUUGCGCGAUUGAAUGAGCCGAUGUCGGAUUAGCUAGUUGGCGGGGUAAAGGCCCACCAAGGCGACGAUUCGUAGCUGGUCUGAGAGGAUGAUCAGCCACACUGGAACUGAGACACGGUCCAGACUCCUACGGGAGGCAGCAGUGGGGAAUAUUGGACAAUGGGCGCAAGACUGAUUCAGCCAUACCGCGUGGGUGAAGAAGGCCUUCGGGUUGUAAAGCCCUUUUGUUGGGAAAGAAAUCCAGCUGGCUAAUACCCGGUUGGGAUGACGGUACCCAAAGAAUAAGCACCGGCUAACUCCGUGCCAGCCGCCGCCGUAA